GGUUUGUUCCCCGCUCCUCGCGUCUCCCUGGGCUCCUCCCGCCCGUGCCCCGCUGCGGCAGCCGGGCUCUCCCCGGCGGAGCCCCGGGGCCCGUCCCGCCGUGCCCGCGGGCAGGGAGGGUCCCCGGGCGGCGGGGCGGAAGGGGGGGCCGGCGCUGAGCUGAGGGAGGGGCCGGGACGCCGGCGCGUCGGUGCCGACGGUCUCCAGGAGGGAGUGAGGAGGAGGAGGAAGAGGAGGAGGUGAGCUCCUGUGGUCUGAUGUGCAGCUGGUGAGAAGAGAGAAACUGGAGGCCUUCCCCUGUUCCAUCUGCACCUUUAAAAGGACUUCACUGAAGGCAGUGCAAGGCAGGCAUAGCAGGUAUGAUCUGUGGGAGUUCAACAGCAAAUGCUUCAGAAAAGCAAAGAUUCACUGCUCUAAGUUCACCAAUCUCUCCUGCAGGAGAAACAAUUGAAGAAUGCUACUACACUCAGGAAAAUCACACUUUGAAAUCUGUCCAUUGGAAUGAAGCAGAUAGGAUGGGUUGGAAGAAACACUUCUCACCACUGAGAUCCAUAGCCAAGAUUCCCAAACUGCUUUGGUGAAGACCUCUGAAGCAGCACCACCUGGUAUUUUACUGCUGCCAGUUUUGAAUGCAGGUUUCACACAGUUCUGAAGUACUUGGAAAAUGAGUGUCCUUCUGAUUGAACCCUUUUAUGGUGGCUCCCACAAGCAGCUGAUGGAUCUUCUCCAGGAAGAGCUGCAAGAAGAUUGUGUCCUCUGCACACUCCCAGCCAAGAAGUGGCAUUGGAAGGCACGGACUUCUGCUCUUUAUUUCAUGCAAACAGUGCCAACAAGUUCUAAUUACAGGAUCCUCUUUGCAAGCUCGGUGCUUAACCUGGCUGAACUCGCCGCCCUCCGCCCUGACCUUGGCAAAUUGAAAAAGGUCCUCUACUUCCAUGAGAACCAAUUGGCAUAUCCUGUCCAGAAAUGCCAGGAAAGGGAUUUUCAGUAUGGAUACAACCAAAUUCUUUCAUGUUUGGUUGCUGAUGUUGUGGUAUUCAACUCUGCUUUUAAUAUGGAAUCCUUUCUUAAGUCCAUUGGAAAAUUUAUGAAGCUGAUUCCUGACCACAGACCUAAGGAUUUGGAAAAAAUAAUCAGACCGAAGUGCCAAGUUCUUUAUUUUCCAGUCAGGUUUCCUGAUGUGAGCAGGUUCAUGCCAGAGCAUAAACUUGCCCGUUUGGAAAAGGUAAUUGGUGUUAAAAGGAAUGGAGAUGCUUAUCAGUCAGAGGGGCUGCCUGGCCAGCAGGAGAGCAGAGCUGUAAUGAAAACCAGUGAUGCACAUCCUGAGUCUGGACUUUGUGAGCCCCAGCCUGGACUCUGCACCACACAGCACGAGGGGCUGCCCUCCCCAGCAGCAGCCCCAGUCCAGGCUGAAGCACCAGAGAGUACAAAUCCUUGUCAAGGGGAAGAUAAGCAACGUCUGACUUUUAACCUCUCUAAUAUCUUGAGUGGACUGGACUAUCAGCAAAGACCUCUGCACAUCGCCUGGCCUCACAGGUGGGAACAUGACAAAGAUCCUGAAACUUUCUUUAAAGUCCUGAUGAAGCUGAAAGAACAAGAUCUGCCUUUCCAUGUGUCCGUCCUUGGAGAGACUUUCAGUGAAAUUCCAGAUAUCUUUUCAGAGGCCAGGGAGGUGUUGGGAUCGUCCGUCUUGCACUGGGGGUACUUGCCCAGCAAGGAUGACUAUUUCCGAGCUCUGUGCACGGCUGAUGUUGUCAUCUCCACAGCCAAACACGAAUUCUUUGGCGUGGCAAUGAUCGAGGCUGUGCAUUGUGGCUGUUACCCGCUGUGUCCCAAAGCCUUGGUGUACCCAGAGAUAUUCCCAGCUGAAUAUCUGUAUUCUACACCUGAACAGCUUUUUAAAAGGCUUCAGAAUUUCUGCAAGAGACCAGAUAUUGUAAGGAGACAUCUCUAUAAGGAAUUGCAAUCUGGGCCUGGAGUGGAGACAUUCAGAUAUUAUUCUGGCCAAUUUCUGAUGGGACAAGAAAUACCAUAUUCCACCACCGCGAAGGCAACGAGAGCGUAUUACUUGUCCAAAGAGUGUGUGUGUGUGUCUGUCUUUUUCUUUUUUUUUUCUUGGCACUCACAGAUCCAAAAAUGUUCCGAGAGAUAAAGACCCCUCUGAUGUUGAACAGGUGGCUUGUCCAGGUCAUCGAGCACGACGAUGGCUGUGAAAACAAAGCGUGUGGUGGUCCCACCUCGGCGCGAGGCGCGGGGGCGCGGCGGGGAUGCGGUUGGCAUUUAAAGGUCAGUCCCUGGCAGGUCCUCGGCACGUUCCCAGCAGCAGGUGACCUCCGUGACUGCUCUCCCAUCUCACACAUCCGCCUCAUCAAGGAGCCAGGCUGCACCUUUAUGAAACUGUUUGCAGAAGAACGAGGCGUGAUCACAACUAAGCUGAAGGGUGUCAUAUUCACUUUACCACCGACAUGAGGACCAGUGGUUGAAUAUUCGAUUACACGUCAGUCACAGCACAUUAGGCAAUCUUCCAGUCUGCCAGCUUUGCCCUUCCCAGCUCCCAGCUAAGUGUCAUCAGGAAAGAAGUAGCACUGUGAAGGCAGGAAUUGGCUUGCUCUGGGAGCUUGAGUCCCCAUGAAAAAUGUCCUCUCUUAUCAUUCCAGUGAGUCUAUUGUUUCCCCAUGCUCUGGAGAGAGGAAGGUUGUUCCUCCUGACUGUGGAUUCAAACCACUCAUGGUGCAGUUGCUACUCAAUUUUGUCUCUAGAUCCAAAGGUAUAAAUGUGUGCAAAAGCAGCAAAUGUUGUAUUGAAAAAUUAGGGAGCUGUCAUUCCAACUACAUUACCAAAAAUAUUCUGCUCUUUCAAAUAAAGUGGCUAUAAAAACUUGUUGCUCUGACCAAGCAUUUUCUGGACUGUUUUGCUUGCAAAUUACUGAGUGAAAAUAUGCUAGGAGUGGAAGUUAAGGACUGUGGACAAUUUCCCACUUUGCUGAAGCCAGAAAAAUCCCAUCUCAGCUCCAAGAAGGAAACUACUUUCCAAAAUCUCAUGCAGAAAGUCCCGGUUCAGCUGGAACGAGCUGCUCCGUUUGCGCUCAGUGGUUUCUGGAAUAAUAAAAAGCCCUGUAUGCCCAUGCCGGCAAGCACAAGCACCAAAGGAUAAUGCUCCACAACUCCAAGAAAUACUUAGAGGGAGAGACUGCCUGCGGAGUGGGGAGUGCAGUGUGAUGGAUGAAACAAUAAAAAUGACACCGCUGGUAAAACUGAAAGUUUAUGUGUUGUGCCUAUGAUUGAUGUCAGGGUGGUGGCAUCUGGACCCUGUGUCAUAUUAUGGGAGCAGCAUGAGACCCUCCAUGUGGCAGGAUGGUUGCACCCAUGGCUGGUAGGUCCAGGGAGGUGAAUUUGGCCUGCCUGGUGUCUGGUGAAAGAAAACCUCCAUGAGGAAUUGUCUGCAAGGACUGAGGGCAGCUGUCAGCAAAAGAGUGAAGUGGGAAGUGCAGGUCUCCAUUUUGGGUUGCUCUUGGAGAAAAUGGCUGUUUUCCCCCUGUGUCACCCAGCUCUUCCUUGCCCAUGUUUGAAAAGGGCAUCCUCAGUGCUGACAGCAGAGCUGUUACAGACAGAAGGACUGGGCUGAGAGCAGCCAGGGAAAUGCACCUUACUUUUAAAAACAAAGAUGUGCCUUGACAGCUUGCCAAAUGCCACAUCUGCCUCUCUUUGCACCUCUGUGGGUGAAGCUGAAUAGCAAGGUGGUGAAGAUGAGCGAACUUAUCCAUUAACUGUGUGAGAUCCACUCUCUCCUUUUCUGUACAGCAGCUGUAGGUGAUUCCUGACUGGAAGGACCUCCUGGAAACCCCAUCUGCAACACCUGGGGGGAGGCACAGCUGUGAGCUCCCUGUGGUGGGGUGAGGAGGCACCACACCACUAACACCUCAGAUGGGCUGGGAGGAGGGUGGGGAGCUUGGGCACUGGUAAAUUGGUUUUUUUUUCCCCUCUACUUCCCCCCACCAUUGUCAGUUGUCUUUGCUGCUGGAAUUUUUUUCAUCUUCCAUGAUGUCUCUCCGUUGGGGAAUGCUGCUGAGGAUGUGCAAGCCACGAUGGCCUUUGAAUUGGCUGUUUCUCAAGAGCUGAAUCUGUCCUUCAAUUAACCAGUUCAGAAAGCCCUAACUCAUCGCGGCGUUGCAGUCAUGUGGAGUUUUUGAGCAUGAUGUCAGUUGUGCUUGCACAUCCAUGAGAAAUGGCAGGAGAUGGGAACUUGGCUUGCUCUUCAGGACCAAAAAGUCCAGCUGUACAUGGAAAUGAGCAUGUAGGCCCCCAAAAUGAGCAAGUGAAAGGGUGCUUCGUGCUACGAGACAUCAGGAGUGCUGAUGAGGGGACCACACGUGGGGCUGGGCUGGUUUGGAGCAGAUUCUGGCACGAGAGGCCUCGCCAACAGAUUUCCACUCGGAUCCCUUCCAUUUCUCUGUCUCCCAUUUCCUUGCUUUACUGUAUUGGCUUCCUAGCUUGGCCUGUGUAGGCCCUGUCAAAUCCCAAACACACUGGGAACUUUAUUAUAAUUUUCCCUCGGAGUAGGCCAUAGUCUGUUGAGUUACAUUUAUUAUAUUAAGCCGUUUGUCAACUUGAAGUAAGAAUAUUUGCAAAAGCAGUCAAUCAUCAAUAGAUGAUUUAAAAUCUAAUGGUUUUUGGUGGGUGUAUGUAAUAUAAACAGAUAAGUUGGUGUUGAGGGAUGGGCCCAAACCAAAGCAUAUGGUUCUCCUCCAAAAUGUCAAGGGAUGUGGGGUUUUGGCCCAGCAAUGAAGGAGAAGGCCUCAUUUUAUAUGGCUACAGCUUCACUCUUUCCCUAAAUUAGUGCUCAAAAAUCUUGAUUUGUGUGCAUUGCUAGUAAUACAGCAGCCUGAUUUCCUUCUGUAUAAAGAGGAAACUUUCUUACGUACCAGAACCAUCACAAUAAAGAGUUAUUGUUUUAA